ACGGCGAGUGAGCGGUAACAGCUCAAAUUUGAAAUCUGGGUCUUUCAGGCUCCGAGUUGUAAUUUGUAGAAGAUGCUUCGGGUGCGGCUCCGGCCUAAGUUCCUUGGAACAGGACGUCAUAGAGGGUGAGAAUCCCGUAUGUGAUCGGUUGCUUGCGCCCAUGUGAAGCUCUUUCGACGAGUCGAGUUGUUUGGGAAUGCAGCUCAAAAUGGGUGGUAAAUUUCAUCUAAAGCUAAAUAUUGGCCAGAGACCGAUAGCGCACAAGUAGAGUGAUCGAAAGAUGAAAAGCACUUUGGAAAGAGAGUUAAACAGUACGUGAAAUUGUUGAAAGGGAAGCGCUUGCAACCAGACUUGCGCGUUGCCGAUCAUCCGGGGUUCUCCCCGGUGCACUCGGCCUCGCUCAGGCCAGCAUCGGUUUUGGUGGUGGGAUAAAGGCCUUGGGAAUGUAGCUCCUUUCGGGGAGUGUUAUAGCCCUCGGUGCAAUGCCGCCUACCGGGACCGAGGACCGCGCUUCGGCUAGGAUGCUGGCGUAAUGGUUGUAAGCGAC
rnacentral:rRNA from 1 species